AUUCAUCAGCCUCGCUGCAGCUACAACUCCCUUGAGAGUGGGGUCGUUUAUGUCAUCGACACGGUAGAAACCCGGCAAGUCACGACGCCGUAGGAAACCUUCCGUUCCCGGAAUUUCUUGAGCUUGAAGAAGCUGAGGAAAACGGUAAAUAGCCCAAAAGUAGGAGGGGUCGGAAGCAGAUGAGAGGAAUUCCAUUCUCUUCACAAAAGUCGGGGGCGAAACUCAGGAGACCGUCGGGGACGAAGCAGGUAACCGAGCGACGGGCGGCGGAAGCCAAGAAGUUUUCUUGGAUCAUCAUUUUCUUGAAAAGUGGGACUGUGACGUUUGCGACGGAAGGCACAAUCUCCAUGGCCCCGUGACCGCUGCGGGGGUGGUCGACGGGGAGGCCGUCGGGGAGAGUCCGAGGUAGCGGGAGAAGGCGGCGGAGGCGGUGGUGUGCUGGAGCAGGCGGCGGUGGUUGAAGUAGGAGAUGAUGAAGGUGACGUGGAAUUCGGAUAGACAGAGGAGAUGGGCUACCUUCAACAUAUGGGGUUGAGGUGGCCGUGUACCGGAAGCGGGAAAAUCAGUACAUGCGGCGGUGGUCGGAGAUUUUGUUGGUCGGAAUCGGAAGUCAUGUUUGUUGGGGUGAAUUUUCUGAUUUUUUUGGAAAUUGGUUUUAAAAUUGUUGAUUGUGGGGCACCAAUAUUGAUUGCUGGACCACUUAUAGCUGUGUAUUGGUUGAUAUUUUAGUGUUUUUGGUGUUUUUCUGUCUAAUGAUUUAAUUUGAGAAUCGACUAUUCGGGUAAAAUUCAA